GAAUUCGCCCUUAGAGUUUGAUCCUGGCUCAGGACGAACGCUGGCGGCGCGCCUAACACAUGCAAGUCGAACGAGCGAGAGAGAGCUUGCUUUCUCGAGCGAGUGGCGAACGGGUGAGUAACGCGUGAGGAACCUGCCUCAAAGAGGGGGACAACAGUUGGAAACGACUGCUAAUACCGCAUAAGCCCACGGCUCGGCAUCGAGCAGAGGGAAAAGGAGCAAUCCGCUUUGAGAUGGCCUCGCGUCCGAUUAGCUAGUUGGCGGGGUAACGGCCCACCAAGUCGACGAUCGGUAGCCGGACUGAGAGGUUGAUCGGCCACAUUGGGACUGAGACACGGCCCAGACUCCUACGGGAGGCAGCAGUGAGGGAUAUUGGGCAAUGGGGGAAACCCUGACCCAGCAACGCCGCGUGAGGGAUGACGGUUUUCGGAUUGUAAACCUCUGUCCUCUGUGAAGAUAGUGACGGUAGCAGAGGAGGAAGCUCCGGCUAACUACGUGCCAGCAGCCGCGGUAAUACGUAGGGAGCAAGCGUUGUCCGGAUUUACUGGGUGUAAAGGGUGCGUAGGCGGAUUGGCAAGUCAGAAGUGAAAUCCAUGGGCUUAACCCAUGAACUGCUUUUGAAACUGUUAGUCUUGAGUGAAGUAGAGGUAGGCGGAAUUCCCGGUGUAGCGGUGAAAUGCGUAGAGAUCGGGAGGAACACCAGUGGCGAAGGCGGCCUACUGGGCUUUAACUGACGCUGAGGCACGAAAGUGUGGGUAGCAAACAGGAUUAGAUACCCUGGUAGUCCAUGCCGUAAACGAUGAUUACUAGGUGUUGGGGGAUUGACCCCCUCAGUGCCGCAGCUAACACAAUAAGUAAUCCACGUGGGGAGUACGACCGCAAGGUUGAAACUCAAAGGAAUUGACGGGGGCCCGCACAAGCAGUGGAGUAUGUGGUUUAAUUCGAAGCAACGCGAAGAACCUUACCAGGUCUUGACAUCCGAUGCAUAGCACAGAGAUGUGUGAAAUCCUUCGGGACAUCGAGACAGGUGGUGCAUGGUUGUCGUCAGCUCGUGUCGUGAGAUGUUGGGUUAAGUCCCGCAACGAGCGCAACCCUUACUGUCAGUUACUACGCAAGAGGACUCUGGCAGGACUGCCGUUGACAAAACGGAGGAAGGUGGGGAUGACGUCAAAUCAUCAUGCCCUUUAUGACCUGGGCUACACACGUACUACAAUGGCGUUUAACAAAGAGAAGCAAGACCGCGAGGUGGAGCAAAACUCAAAAACAACGUCUCAGUUCAGAUUGCAGGCUGCAACUCGCCUGCAUGAAGUCGGAAUUGCUAGUAAUCGCGGAUCAGCAUGCCGCGGUGAAUACGUUCCCGGGCCUUGCACUCACCGCCCGUCA
rnacentral:rRNA from 1 species